GACGAACGCUGGCGGCGUGCCUAAUACAUGCAAGUAGAACGCUGAAGGAGGAGCUUGCUUCUCUGGAUGAGUUGCGAACGGGUGAGUAACGCGUAGGUAACCUGCCUGGUAGCGGGGGAUAACUAUUGGAAACGAUAGCUAAUACCGCAUAAGAGUAGAUGUUGCAUGACAUUUGCUUAAAAGGUGCAAUUGCAUCACUACCAGAUGGACCUGCGUUGUAUUAGCUAGUUGGUGAGGUAACGGCUCACCAAGGCAACGAUACAUAGCCGACCUGAGAGGGUGAUCGGCCACACUGGGACUGAGACACGGCCCAGACUCCUACGGGAGGCAGCAGUAGGGAAUCUUCGGCAAUGGACGGAAGUCUGACCGAGCAACGCCGCGUGAGUGAAGAAGGUUUUCGGGUCGUAAAGCUCUGUUGUAAGAGAAGAACGAGUGUGAGAGUGGAAAGUUCACACUGUGACGGUAUCUUACCAGAAAGGGACGGCUAACUACGUG
rnacentral:rRNA from 1 species